rnacentral:rRNA from 1 species
UGCGCAGGCGGUCGGAAGGGUGUCUUGUGAAAUCCCCCGGCUUAACCGGGGAACUGCCAGGCAAACCGUCCGACUUGAGGCAGGUAGAGGUUGAUGGAACUCUGGGUGGAGCGGUGAAAUGCGUAGAUAUCCAGGGGAACGCCAAUGGCGAAAGCAGUCAACUGGGCCUGUCCUGACGCUCAGGCACGAAAGCCAGGGGAGCAAACGGGAUUAGAUACCCCGGUAGUCCUGGCCCUAAACGAUGUCUACUGGGUUUGAGAAUCUCUGACGGUUCUCGGGCCGAAACAAAAGUGUUAAGUAGACCGCCUGGGGAGUACGGCCGCAAGGCUAAA